GAUGAACGCUGGCGGCGUGCCUAAUACAUGCAAGUCGAGCGAACGGACGAGAAGCUUGCUUCUCUGAUGUUAGCGGCGGACGGGUGAGUAACACGUGGAUAACCUACCUAUAAGACUGGGAUAACUUCGGGAAACCGGAGCUAAUACCGGAUAAUAUUUUGAACCGCAUGGUUCAAAAGUGAAAGACGGUCUUGCUGUCACUUAUAGAUGGAUCCGCGCUGCAUUAGCUAGUUGGUAAGGUAACGGCUUACCAAGGCAACGAUGCAUAGCCGACCUGAGAGGGUGAUCGGCCACACUGGAACGGAGACACGGUCCAUACUGCUACGGGAGGCAGCAGUAGGGAAUCUUCCGCAAUGGGCGAAAGCCUGACGGAGCAACGCCGCGUGAGUGAUGAAGGUCUUCGGAUCGUAAAACUCUGUUAUUAGGGAAGAACAUAUGUGUAAGUAACUGUGCACAUCUUGACGGUACCUAAUCAGAAAGCCACGGCUAACUACGUG
rnacentral:rRNA from 1 species